rnacentral:ncRNA from 1 species
AUUUGAAACCAACCCCUAGCCUCUGCAUCUAAGUCUUUGUUGUAUAAAUUUUUAUUAAUUGAUUCUAUAAAUAGAGUUCUAUCAAAUUAAUACCAUAUCGAUAUGAUGCUUUGGCCGUGGCUCCCGAGUCACCAGGGUGCAAGGCAGAAAUGCCCGCAUCCCCCAUGAUUGGAAGGUGUUAUAGUGGAACAACU